rnacentral:rRNA from 1 species
CGUCAAGUCCUCAUGGCCCUUAUGGGUAGGGCUUCACACGUCAUACAAUGGUCGGUACAGAGGGCAGCCAACCCGCGAGGGGGAGCAAAUCCCAGAAAGCCGAUCGUAGUCCGGAUUGCAGUCUGCAACUCGACUGCAUGAAGUCGGAAUCGCUAGUAAUCGCGGAUCAGCAUGCCGCGGUGAAUACGUUCCCGGGCCUU